rnacentral:rRNA from 1 species
UACGGGGGGGGCAAGCGUUGUUCGGAAUUACUGGGCGUAAAGGGCUCGUAGGCGGCCAACUAAGUCAUACGUGAAAUCCCUCGGCUUAACCGGGGAACUGCGUCUGAUACUGGAUGGCUUGAGUUCGGGAGAGGGAUGCGGAAUUCCAGGUGUAGCGGUGAAAUGCGUAGAUAUCUGGAGGAACACCGGUGGCGAAGGCGGCAUCCUGGACCAACACUGACGCUGAGGAGCGAAAGCCAGGGGAGCAAACGGG